AUAUAUCUAGGGAGGAAAACAUCGAGAUUUAGUUUCCGUGUGGAUGAGUCUUAUGGAACAACCUCGUGUAGGUGAAGAUGAAGCUAGACCCAGACUGGAGCAGAAAUUCAAGCUGAGAGUAUCUGGAACCAUAGAAGUAACCAUAGAGUAAGGAGCCAUACGUGGUCAAGGGCUGACACUUUACCCCACGGAAGCUGAAGCAGGUGGAGACAAAGCUGUAUCAUUCAAUCUUAGACCCUUUGUUAAGAAAUGCCUACUUCUUGAAUGGAACUAAAUAUUGCCUUUGACAAGAUCCUGGUUACCACAAGACUCUUCUAAUUAACCCAGAAUAAUCAUGCCAUCUCACAGCAUCUCACGGUCGUGUCGUGUCAUCUCACAGAAGGGACAGUGGGAAUGAAGAACAGGUAAAUCAUACGAAGCAAAAAGUACCCACUGGGAGUUCCCACUCCAGGAAGAAUCAAGGCACCACGACCUUGUCUGCGUUGAAAAGCAAGCUUCGGGGAGGAGGUAGUUUUCCUUUUCUGUAGCAGUUGACAGAAUUUACACACACACACACACACACACACACACACCCUUCUUUCAGGGCUUUGCUCUCCCAGUGACACUCAGACCAACCACUAUUUCCAGGGUUAGGAGUUCCUAACAGAGGCACUCAGUUCUAACAGUAAAUUCUGUUGCUGAUUUCUUUGUACAGUUCCUAAUAGGCAAACAUCUAAAGCAGUGACGGCCAAACACCUAGUCAGUAUAGCUCAGCUUUGUAUUCAAUUGGAAGGGAUUCCUGAAUUUAUGCUUUUUCCUUGCAAAAUAGCCAAAUGUGGAUCACCCAGAUAUUUUGUUUCCAAAGGAGAUGCUUUUGCCUCUCCAUGAGUUAGACUGGCCUUCCAAGUUCGUCUGUUGAUCCUAUGUGGAUGAGUCUCCUGGUUGAUCUUCUCCAUUUCUCACAGGUACCAUGCAGUUGCCAACUCCAGAGAUUUAUCUAUCCAUCUAGACCACUCCAAGGUUCUGGCAACCAAUUCACAAAAGGAUGUUGAAGUCAGUAGUCACUAUCACACCACAUGACAAAAUUUAUAUCUACACACAUAUAGUACUGUAUAUGUGUUCAUAUACACUUCUCAGUUCAGGAAUAGCUAUCUGGGCGCCAUCUGCAAGGUUCACAAAGGAACAUUUUCAUUCAAAAUAAUGUAUGGCAACUAAGUUGUGGUGCCGCAUUGGACAACAACAAUGGAAAGUCUACAGAGCUUGCUGUUGAAAAGUCCAGUAACCUAUGAUUUCCCGCUUAGAACCAAGAUGCUUGGUUUAACUCCAAGACUUUUUUUUUCUUUUUUUCGGAGCUGGGGACCAAACCCAGGGCAUUGCAGUUGCUAGGCAAGUGCUCUACCACUGAGCUAAAUCCCCAACCCCACCAAGACUUUUUAAUAGGCAUGGGCUUCCCCAUUAUUCCAGGUUGCAUUUCUCUUAGAAUGCAUGGUGGCAGACAACUGUCAGUAACCUCGGCACUCACAGAAGCAGAGAGAGGGUCCAGACCGCAUUCUCCCUUGUAGAGUUUGAGGUCAGCCUGGGAUUCAUGAGUUUCUGUCUCAACACCAACCCACAAACAAGUUUACUGAAGGUUUAAGAAAUAAAGGAAACAGCAUGCCUCUGAAUCUUCUGCUGGAGUUGCACGUCAGAAAUCAUAAGAUGCCUGCAGAAGGUCCCUAGACAAGUACCAUGCUCUCCUCACCUGCAGACCUUUACGUGGGACCGUCCUUUGGAAAGGAAACCUGUAUGUUUCGUUCCCUCCCUCAAUCGGAAGGUUGAGAGAAAAGCAGAACCUGCCUGACUUGAGCUCCAUCAAGGGCAUAGUUUAUUCUGGGGACAGGUUAAGCUGUAUAACUUUUUCUGUGUUGAAUUACUUGAUUGAAAAUAUCAAAUGAUGUUGCCUCCAUCAAAGUGUUGACUAUGUACCUGACAUUGUAAAUUGGGUCUCUUAAGAAGUCAGAAUGUCUAUAUCUAAUUUUUAGAGUGUUAUUUGGUUUUUAGAAACAAAGGCUUAUCCCCCUGCAUCUGCUCUUACGCCAUGUACUUUAAAUAAACAUGCUAAUGAUUGCAGAAGAGAUAAAGAGUUUUAAAGAAUGACAUUCUUUUCCCUGGAGUUCCUAACUCAUAGACAUUUCCAGGAAUUUAACGUUAUUAUCAUGGCAGCAGGUGGAAUGAAGGGAAGGGUCAUAGCGUUUGGGCAGUCCCUGCUUCCUUUUGUAUUUGUGUCACGAGUCAGUUGAGUUAUUUAGGGACCACGCUUUCUACUCAAGGCCUAGGUCCACUAAAAUAGGAAGAAUAUGCAUUGUUCACAGUGCUUGCAGAAAGCUGUGACACAAGUGUGCAGUAUUUUAGAACUUGUCCCUUCCCCGGGGACAAGCUGUAGAAAGCACAGAGAGAGCUGGGUAAAGCUGGACUCCAUCCCCCAUACCAACUGCAUCACUACAGGAUUGGGUGAGCACUGUUAGGAAAAAUAUAGACGUAUGUAUUAGUUGUGCUUACCCAAUUCGUUUUCCCCCUUGAAGUCAUCUAUUUCUUUCUGGGUGUCUUCUCUACCUGUUGCUUUGAGAGUACAAAGUGAUGAAAGAGAAGGCCCUCACAGAAGAUUAAAAUCAUUGUUUUUUUAAUGAAAUUUAAUUUUUCAUGAUUAAAUACAAUUCAGAAUAAAGGUAUCGCCACAAGUUGUUUUGCUGAUGUUUGCAGAGGCUGGCGCUGAAGAAAGCUAAGAGGGGGCUCACCCUGAGCUCUGAGAGGAUGUGGGCUAAGGGAUUCCAUGUUUAGACAGAUGGCUCUACGCAGUAUGUGCAGCCAGAGAAAGCAAGUGUCUGCCUGGAGCUCUGGGUCACAGGGGAGCAAGAGGAAACUUUUGUGCCAACUCCGUGAGGUCAUCAGGAGAACCGAGUCAGAAGACAGAACCUCAGUCAUCUUCAACCACAGAGAGUCAGCAGGAAAGGAGAGUGGUUUCCGCUAUAAGUUGGCUAAAUGGCUUAUUUUUCUGAAAGACAAGUAUUUAUGAGAAUGAAGUCAUGUUUAAAAGGUGUCAGAAUAUGAAGCAGUUGUGACAGAUGAGUGGGAGGAAACUGCGAGGGGUGUUUAUCCACGCACUUCCUCUCUAUCUCCUGACCAUUAUGUGUUCUCAGUCUAGACCUGGUUUACUGAUGAGGCUGUGCUCAAGUGUGUCAAGGAAUGUGGCCAUUGCUCACUGCUGCCUGGCGUAGGAUUAGAAAGAGAAAUGCCAGCAUUGGUGCUCCCGGGUGUAGAAUGAAUUUCCCCGGAGCCCACUUUCUUCAUCUUGAAAACAAUGCUAGCUAGAGUUAAGUGAGUUAUUCUAAGCAUCAGGUGUAAGAGCGAGAUUAUUGUUCCAGGGUUAGCGCUGGGUACAUUUCGUUCACUUGCUCGGAAGACCAUUCUUGGAAUUAGAGUCAAUGAAAGCGUUCAACUUUCUCCAUUCUUCAGCCCAGCAUCCAUUGUGCAUUGGUAUCUGGGGAUUAUAUUAUUGUGUUUCAUUUACAUAAUGCAUGCUAUCUGAUACAGUCUUACGGAUUAGAGGCUUUUGCUACUAGAAGUUUUAUGGUUGAGUCUCAAAUACAGAUACCGCAUGACUUACAGAAAAGGAAAAAGUACACUUGAAAAUGUCUUGCAGAUAUUCGAUUCUAUGUAUACAUAUAUAUGUAGCCAACGUCCACAUCUUAAGCAGCUGCCUCAUAGCAAAACCAAACCAAAACAAAAGGAACCUGAAAAAACCAUCACACUAAAGGAGCUGGAAGACUCUUUGAGACAUUGUCUAACUUCUCAACCACGCCUGCAUCCCUCGGAUCCUCCUGGUCCACUUCCAGCCUCGUUGUGCAGUUUUGUACCUAACUGCUCGUGUGCAGAUCUCAGUCUCCACAGAUGUCCCCUGAGGAGUUUUGUGGGGACCAGCACUAGAAAUUAGGGACUUCCUUUUAAAGAAAAUAGAUUUCCAAGGCCUCUCGAUUUUUCACAGUUUACAUAAGCCUUGAUAUAGAACACAAUACGAAAA